GUGCACGCUGGCGGUAGGCCUAACACAUGCAAGUCGAACGGCAGCACAGUAAGAGCUUGCUCUUACGGGUGGCGAGUGGCGGACGGGUGAGGAAUACAUCGGAAUCUACUUUUUCGUGGGGGAUAACGUAGGGAAACUUACGCUAAUACCGCAUACGACCUACGGGUGAAAGCAGGGGAUCUUCGGACCUUGCGCGAUUGAAUGAGCCGAUGUCGGAUUAGCUAGUUGGCGGGGUAAAGGCCCACCAAGGCGACGAUCCGUAGCUGGUCUGAGGGGAUGAUCAGCCACACUGGAACUGAGACACGGUCCAGACUCCUACGGGAGGCAGCAGUGGGGAAUAUUGGACAAUGGGCGCAAGCCUGAUCCAGCCAUACCGCGUGGGUGAAGAAGGCCUUCGGGUUGUAAAGCCCUUUUGUUGGGAAAGAAAAGCAGCAGGUUAAUACCCCGCUGUUCUGACGGUACCCAAAGAAUAAGCACCGGCUAACUUCGUG
rnacentral:rRNA from 1 species